AAUCUGUGGUGUAGGCAUUUCUGAAUCAACUUUUUAAAAUACUACCAUGCUUCAUGAAAAAUUUCUCCUUCUAAUUGUUUAAACAUAGAAAUUUCCGUUCUUAGUUG
rfam:Gossypium hirsutum cultivar TM-1 unplaced genomic scaffold scaffold684.1, whole genome shotgun sequence